GCAUUAAAGCAUUAAUAACUUUUACUCACAAAUACAAAGGGCAAAAAAAUAUACUUAGAAAUGAAGACAAUUUGUAGCUUCCAGUCAAGAACUGGAUAUUUGUUGAAAUAGUCAUAUAGUUAUUCUAUAGAAUUUGUAGCAGUCUGCAGUGCUUUUAAUGUCCCUCUAUGAAAAUGAAUCAUUUGACAUUUCAUAUAACAUUAUACAUUAAAAAUAAAAAACAUUCUCAUAAUAGUUUAAAAUAUGAAGUAGGUAUUUUAAGUGGAUUGUAUUUGAUAUUAUCAUGUGUUCAUAUAUUUUAGUAACAUGUUUUUAAACCAGAAGGAAUUGAGAGAAAGGAAAUGAAAUCCUUUCAGAGCAAAUCUUCAACUUCUUCUUGUUAAUUGAUUUAGUUUCAGAUGUUUCAUUUGAAAAAUAGGUACAAUGAAGGUUUUCAUGAUGAGGAGGAUUUCAUGGAAAUAGCUUGGAUCGUAAUCAUGCUUUUGCCUACAGAUAUUGUUAAUCGUCUCAUUAAAUUUUGAAAGAAUGCAGUCAGUAGUCAUAUGUAUGGACGCUUCAUCCUGGGCCUCUAAUGUUAUUGUAAUCAAACCGAAAUAUGUCUUGUUCAUCUUUACAUGUUCAGCAAACUUGGUAUGAAAAUUUCCUCCAGAUUUUUUCUUCAGUCUGUUUGCUAUAUCUUUGUCCUUUUUGAAAUAAUCCAAAAGGAUGUUUUCAGCAUCCACUUCAAUCCCAGGCUCUAUGACUGGAGGGAGAGUCGAGGACACAUCAUAGACCCAUUUUUUCCAAAGUGGGUUGAAUUUCUUACGUAGCUCUUCCUCACUGCAUUCUAAGCCUUUUAUAAAUAAAGCCAAAUUUCGGCUUUUUUCCAAUAAUUCCUUUUCAUAACCUGAUUUUUUGUUGUCCAGGUUUUCUUGAUUUUUUUUUUAAAGCAAAUAAAUUCUUUGGCUUUUCUUUGGCUGUCUGAAAUUAGUGACUCUUUAAGGAUCAUUAGCUUAUUUUCAAAAUUUCCCUUCCAUUGAACCAGCACUUCACUAUCUGGAUCUUCAUUGAAAUAUUUUUCAAGUUCUUGCUUGAUGGCCUCAUACUUGUCUGUAACGGGAGCCGCAAGUGUGUGUGCUUCAAGUGUGUGGAUUUUUCCAUUCUGAAUCUGGUUGAUCAGCUGGUCCUGCAGGCUCAGCACAUGACUCCUCAGCUCCCACGUCCAUUUGUUAUACAUGGUUUCCAGUUUGCUCAUAGCUGUAACCUCUCGAAACCUUUCGGGUAUUCCUGAAGCUGAAAACAAAGUUCUCAUUCAGCAGGGCUUUCCACAGAUCCUGAACUCGGAAUUUGACAUCUGAUAUCUUCAUGAUGCUUCCCCUUGCCUCCUGUUUGGCAGUUGCAAGGAUCCUGCUUUUCAGUUCCUGGGCAUUGUGGCUGUAGCGCGGAUUGGGAGGGGCCAUUGGGGGGUUGCCAUCCCAGAGGUGAGCGAAGUAGUAGACGUGAGUAUUGACAUCAAACUUAAUGACGUCACUGAAGCGGUCGACAUCAGAGCACUGUUCCUCCUCAGCUGCUGUGGCUGCCAUUUCAUCCAGUCUCUGCUCUAGCCGCCUCCGUCCUUCCAUGGUUUGGUCUUUAGCUGUAACUUCGCCCACAUUCUGAUGGACAAAGAGGCAGCUGGGAGAGAUUUUUACUUGUUUCAUCCUCAGGAAGGCUUGGACAGCUAUUUGUAGAAUAUCUUGCAUUUCCGAUGGAUUUUCCCCAAAAAUAUUGAUCACAGUUAAGUUGCCAAGGCCGAUGACAAAAGUUGCCAACUCAUUGUCGUGAUUCUGGGACUUGUUGCUGAGUUCAGGUGCCCGAAGGCCUUCCGUGUCCACAACAAGAAGAAAGUCAAAGCCAAGUUCGUCUGUGAACGUCUCCUCCACCUUCAGGAGCUGCAUGUAAGCCCCCCGGGUACACCUCCCAGCACUGACAGUGAACUGCAGCCCAAACAUUGCAUUCAGUAGGGUGGACUUCCCUGAGCUCUGCAGACCAAGGAUAGAGAGAACAAAGAGCCGUUUGUCUCCAAGUUUCUCAGAGACCUUGUCAAAAACAGCUGCCACCCACCUCAGGGGCACAUAUGAAGCAUCGCCAUCCAUCAGCUCAAUGGGAACACCAGAUAGCAUCAGAUCUGCGGCCAUGUGGGGAAGGGAGAGAAACGAGACAUCUUUUGUGGAGAAACCUUCUUCAAGAGCUUCGUAGAUCUGGCCAAGUUCUCUGAGAAUCUGCUCAACUCCCAAGGUACAGUCACUAAUCUUUCUGGAGAUAGCUUCCAACUCAUUUUGCAGGCCUUUCAGGGAGCUGCUCUUUUGUGCCUCUCGCUUUUUUUGGACCCGUGACCACAGUUGCUCUUUCUUCUCAUUUAGUUUCUCCAAGUGUCCUGCAGUCAGGUUGUCUAAAAACACACUCAGCCAUUGCAAGAAGUAGAGUUUGGUGUGAGUUUCGGAAUGUUUUUGGAGAAUUCCGAGGACAGAAUGCAUUAAGUCAUUGAGAGGAAAGGCUUUUCUCAACUGUCGAAGUCGUAUCAUUUGUUUGUCUGUCUCGAUGUCACUCUUGUGCUGUUCAAUGCUCCGAUUCCCCUUUUCUCUCAGGUGAUAGAGUUCUUUGUCUUUUUUGCACCAAAGUUGCCACAGUUCUCCCUGAAGGGGCAGUAGGUUUUCCUUCAUCUGAGCUAUUUCCAUGUCUUCCAGCAGGGCCAUUAGAGCCUCUGCCUUGGUUUUGGCUUCCUUGCAGUCUUCCUGGUCUUCAUCAAUAAGCAUUCCUUGCUUGCGAGCAACUUGAGCACAGUUUUCCAAGCUGAGAGCAGUGUCAGAGGGUUUUAGCAACCCUCUGAUUGUAGUUGCGAGCUCCUCUAUGA
rnacentral:lncRNA from 1 species